rnacentral:rRNA from 1 species
CGCGAAUGGCUCAUUACAACAGCUAAAAUCUACUUGAUCUUGACACAAUCCUACUUGGAUAACUGUGGUAAUUCUAGAGCUAAUACAUGCAUUAAAGCUCUGACCUCACGGGACGAGUGCAUUUAUUAGAACAAAACCAAGCGGCUUCGGCUGUUUUCGGUUGACUCAUAGUAACUGAGCUGAUCGCAUGGUCUUGCACCGGCGACGUGUCUUUCGAGUAUCUGCCGUAUCAACUUUCGAUGGUAGUGUAUCUGACAACCAUGGUGAUCACGCGUAACGGAGAAUAAGGGUUCGGCUCCGGAGAGUUCGCCUGAGAAAUCGCGAACACAUCUAAGGAAGGCAGCAGGCGCGAAAAUUACCCACUCUCAGCACGAGGAGGUAGUGACGAAAAAUAACGAGACCGUUCUCUUUCGAGGCCGGUCAUCGGAAUGGGUACAAUUUAAACCCUUUAACGAGUAUCUAUGAGAGGGCAAGUCUGGUGCCAGCAGCCGCGGUAAUUCCAGCU